CGGACGGGUGAGUAAUGUCUGGGAAACUGCCUGAUGGAGGGGGAUAACUACUGGAAACGGUAGCUAAUACCGCAUAACGUCGCAAGACCAAAUAGGGGGACCUUCGGGCCUCUUGCCAUCAGAUGUGCCCAGAUGGGAUUAGCUAGUAGGUGGGGUAACGGCUCACCUAGGCUACGAUCCCUAGCUGGUCUGAGAGGAUGACCAGCCACACUGGAACUGAGACACGGUCCAG
rnacentral:rRNA from 1 species